rnacentral:rRNA from 1 species
GAUGAACGCUGGCGGCGUGCCUAAUACAUGCAAGUCGAACGAGGUGCUUUUGUAGCAAUACGAAAGCAUCCUAGUGGCGAACGGGUGAGUAACGCGUUGGUGACCUACCCCAAAGUGUGGGAUAACAGUUCGAAAGAACUGCUAAUACCGCAUGUGGUUAUCGGGUUUAGAAACUGAUAACUAAAGGAGCAAUUCGCUUUGGGAGGGACCUGCGUCCCAUCAGCUAGUUGGUGAGGUAAUGGCUCACCAAGGCUACGACGGGUAGGGGACCUGAGAGGGUGGCCCCCCACAAUGGAACUGAAACACGGUCCAUACACCUACGGGUGGCAGCAGUAGGGAAUAUUGCACAAUGGGCGAAAGCCUGAUGCAGCAACGCCGCGUGUGCGAUGAAGGCCUUGGGUCGUAAAGCACUUUUCUGAGAGAUGAGAAAGGACAGUAUCUCAGGAAUAAGUACUCGGCUAACUACGUGCCAGCAGCCGCGGUAAAGUACAGUGU